CGGAAAAGCCAGGACAUUUUUUAAUAUAACUCUGAUUGUAUUCGUCUGAAAGAUGAGAGUCAUAUACAUCUAGAAUAGCUUGAGGGCUAGUAAUUUAUG